rfam:Chlorocebus sabaeus isolate 1994-021 chromosome 5, whole genome shotgun sequence.
GCCGGGCGCGGUGGCUCAUGCCUGUAAUCUCAGUGCUUUGGGAGGCCGAGGAGGGUGGAUCACGAGGUCAGGAGAUGGAGACCAUACUGGCUAACACGGUGAAACCCCGUCUCUACUAAAAAAUACAAAAAACUAGCCGGGCGAGGUGGCANUGGGACUACAGGCGCCCGCCACCUCGCCCGGCUAGUUUUUUGUAUUUUUUAGUAGAGACGGGGUUUCACCAUAUUAGCCAGGAUGGUCUCGAUUUCCUGACCUCGUGAUCCGCCCGUCUU